rnacentral:rRNA from 1 species
CCUACGGGAGGCAGCAGUGAGGAAUAUUGGUCAAUGGGCGCGAGUCUGAACCAGCCAAGUCGCGUGAGGGAGGACGGCCCUACGGGUUGUAAACCUCUUUUGCCGGGGAGCAACGGGCGUCACGUGUGGCGCCACUGAGAGUACCCGGAGAAAAAGCAUCGGCUAACUCCGUGCCAGCAGCCGCGGUAAUACGGAGGAUGCGAGCGUUAUCCGGAUUUAUUGGGUUUAAAGGGAGCGUAGGCCGGCUUUUAAGUCAGCUGUGAAAGUCCGCGGCUCAACCGUGGAAUUGCAGUUGAAACUGGAGGCCUUGAGUGCACACAGGGAUGCCGGAAUUCAUGGUGUAGCGGUGAAAUGCUUAGAUAUCAUGAAGAACUCCGAUCGCGAAGGCAAGUGUCCGGGGUGCAACUGACGCUGAGGCUCGAAAGUGCGGGUAUCAAACAGGAUUAGAUACCCGAGUAGUC